CCUACGGGAGGCAGCAGUGAGGAAUUUUGCGCAAUGGGGGAAACCCUGACGCAGCGACGCCGCGUGGAGGACGAAGGCCUUCGGGUCGUAAACUCCUGUCAGAGGUGAAGAAUCCCGCAAGGGUUGACGGUAACCUCAGAGGAAGCCCCGGCUAACUACGUGCCAGCAGCCGCGGUAAUACGUAGGGGGCAAACGUUGCUCGGAAUUACUGGGCGUAAGGGGUGCGUAGGCGGCUGAGCAAGUCAAGGAUGAAAUCCCGCGGCUCAACUGCGGAACUGUCCUUGAAACUGCUUAGCUUGAGGAUAGUCGAAGAAAACGGAAUUCCCGGUGGAGCGGUGAAAUGCGUAGAUAUCGGGAGGAACACCAGAGGCGUAAGCGGUUUUCUAGACUACUCCUGACGCUGAGGCACGAAAGCUAGGGGAGCAAACAGGAUUAGAUACCCUGGUAGUCCACGCUGUAAACGAUGGAUACUUGGUGUUGGUCCCAUUGGGAUCAGUGCCGAAGCUAACGCAUUAAGUAUUCCACCUGGGGAGUACGAUCGCAAGGUUGAAACUCAAAGGAAUUGACGG
rnacentral:rRNA from 1 species